rnacentral:rRNA from 1 species
GACCAGACUCCUACGGGAGGCAGCAGUGGGGAAUAUUGGGCAAUGGGCGCAAGCCUGACCCAGCAACGCCGCGUGAAGGAAGAAGGCUUUCGGGUUGUAAACUUCUUUUAAGAGGGAAGAGCAGAAGACGGUACCUCUUGAAUAAGCCACGGCUAACUACGUGCCAGCAGCCGCGGUAAUACGUAGGGGGCAAGCGUUAUCCGGAUUUACUGGGUGUAAAGGGAGCGUAGACGGCGGCGCAAGUCCGGAGUGAAAGCCCCCGGCCCAACCGUGGGACCGCUCUGGAAACUGUGCGGCUUGAGUGCGGGAGGGGCAGGCGGAAUUCCUAGUGUAGCGGUGAAAUGCGCAGAUAUCAGGAAGAACACCGGUGGCGUAGGCGGCUUACUGGACGGCAACUGACGCUGAGGCUCGAAAGCGUGGGGAGCAAACAGGAUUAGAUACCCCGGUAC